CAGAUCUCUUCCUUUGCACUGCUAACAAUCAGAGUCCCAACUGGGACACACCUCAGACCUAUGAGUCCUACCAUGGACAGUAUCCUCCCCUACUGGGUGAUCUUUGGUCUCCUGGGAGCAGGACACAUGGCACCAGGGGUCAAGCAAACUCCCAGCCACAAGAUUACUGAAGUGGGACUGGCUGUGACUCUAAGUUGUGACCCCAUUUCUGGUCACCAGUACAUCUCUUGGUACCGACAGACUGCAGAAAAAGGAAUGGAGUUUAUGGUUUAUCUUAUUGACAAGAAUCCCACAGAAAUGGCAGACUUUUUCAUGGAUAGAUUCUCAGCUGAGAAAGUCAGAUCAGAAUUCAUUAUGAAGAUCCAGCCCGUGCAGCUGGAAGACUCGGCCGUGUAUCUCUGUGCCAGCAGUGAAGCCACAGCCUCACAUAGACAUAUCCUGUCCCUACAAAUUCUCAGUACCUCCCAGUCUCCCCAGGUUCUGAGCAGCCCUUCCUUCCUAUAG